AGUUUGAUCCUGGCUCAGGAUGAACGCUAGCGGCAGGCUUAAUACAUGCGAGUCGAGGGGCAGCAAGGGUAGCAAUACCUGUUGGCGACCGGCAAACGGGUGCGGAACACGUACGCAACCUUCCUUUAAGUGGGGGAUAGCCCAGGGAAACUUGGAUUAAUACCCCUUAACAUUAUGAGAUGGCAUCAUUUUAUAAUUAAAGCUCCGGCGCUUAGAGAUGGCGUGCGCCUGAUUAGGUAGUUGGCGGGGUAACAGCCCACCAAGCCUACGAUCAGUAACUGGUGUGAGGGCACGACCAGUCACACGGGCACUGAGACACGGGCCCGACUCCUACGGGAGGCAGCAGUAAGGAAUAUUGGUCAAUGGACGCAAGUCUGAACCAGCCAUGCCGCGUGGAGGAUGACGGCCCUCUGGGGUUGUAAACUCCUUUUAUCUGGGAAGAAAUGCAGAUUUUCUAAUCUGUUUGACGGUACCAGAGGAAUAAGCACCGGCUAACUCCGUGCCAGCAGCCGCGGUAAAUACCGGAGGGGGGCAAGCGUUAUCCGGAUUCACUGGGUUUAAAGGUGCCUAAGGGGGAAUGGGUAAAGUUCAUGGGGUGAAAUCCUCCAAGCUUAACUUGGAAACUG
rnacentral:rRNA from 1 species